AACGUAGGAGACAAACGUUAUCCGGAGUUACUGGGCGUAAAGGGCGUGUAGGCGGUUUCGUAAGUCUGGCGUGAAAUAUCUCGGCUUAACCGAGGCAGGUCGUCGGAUACUGCGGAACUAGAGGACGGUAGAGGCGUGUGGAAUUCCGGGUGUAGUGGUGAAAUGCGUAGAGAUCCGGAGGAACACCAGUGGCGAAGGCGACACGCUGGGCCGUACCUGACACUGAUGCGCGACAGCAUGGGGAGCAAACAGG
rnacentral:rRNA from 1 species